GUCUACGGCCAUGCUACCCUGAACAAACCCGAUCUCGUCUGAUCUUGGAAGCUAAGCUGGGUUGGGCGUGGUUAGUACUUGGAUGGGAGACUGCCUAGGAAGACCAGGUGCUGUAGGCU
rnacentral:rRNA from 1 species